AUUGAACGCUGGCGGCAGGCCUAACACAUGCAAGUCGAGCGGAUGAAGGGAGCUUGCUCCUGGAUUCAGCGGCGGACGGGUGAGUAAUUCCUAGGAAUCUGCCUGGUAUUGGGGGAUAACGUCCGGAAACGGGCGCUAAUACCGCACACGUCCUGAGGGAGAAAGAGGGGGAUCUUCGGACCUCACGCUAUCAGAUGAGCCUAGGUCGGAUUAGCUAGUUGGUGGGGUAAAGGCCUACCAAGGCGACGAUCCGUAACUGGUCUGAGAGGAUGAUCAGUCACACUGGAACUGAGACACGGUCCAGACUCCUACGGGAGGCAGCAGUGGGGAAUAUUGGACAAUGGGCGAAAGCCUGAUCCAGCCAUGCCGCGUGUGUGAAGAAGGUCUUCGGAUUGUAAAGCACUUUAAGUUGGGAGGAAGGGCAGUAAGUUAAUACCUUGCUGUUUUGACGUUACCAACAGAAUAAGCACCGGCUAACUUCGUG
rnacentral:rRNA from 1 species